GCGUUUGUAGCUCAGCUGGAUAGAGUGUCUGGUUACGGCCCAGAAGGUCAGGGGUUCGACUCCUCUCAAGCGCACCA
rnacentral:tRNA from 1 species